GGCUCCCUCAGUUCCAGGGUGGUAUCUCAUCUGUUAGCUGGUCCUUGUGAUAACACCUAAUGGGAGCAGGAUUUAUACUGGCAGAUUGAGGAAAAAAGCUUCAGAGAUUGUGCCUUAUGUCCACAUCAGUGGAAUUUUAGAACAAGAUCCAUGGCUUCCUGAUCUGUCCCACAGCCAUGGAGGAAGGAUCCCCAUUAACCUCUUGGACAACAAGGACAGCCCAUACCCAUCUGCUCAGAAACCGUAACUGGGCAUUUUAAAGGGGCUAAAGAUGACUGCUGGCACCAAAAUUUGACUUUUUUUAAUGGUACUUG